rnacentral:rRNA from 1 species
GGGUUGUGAGGUUAAGCGACCAAGCGUACACGGUGGAUGCCCUGGCAGUCAGAGGCGAUGAAGGACGUGCUAAUCUGCGAAAAGCGCCGGUAAGGUGAUAUGAACCGUUAUAACCGGCGAUGUCCGAAUGGGGAAACCCAGUGUGACUCGUCACACUAUCAUUAACUGAAUCCAUAGGUUAAUGAGGCGAACCGGGGGAACUGAAACAUCUAAGUACCCCGAGGAAAAGAAAUCAACCGAGAUUCCCCCAGUAGCGGCGAGCGAACGGGGAGGAGCCCAGAGCCUGAAUCAGCAUGUGUGUUAGUGGAAGCGUCUGGAAAGGCGCGCGAUACAGGGUGAGAGCCCCGUACACAAAAGCGCACAUGCUGUGAGCUCGAUGAGUAGGGCGGGACACGUGGUAUCCUGUCUGAAUAUGGGGGGACCAUCCUCCAAGGCUAAAUACUCCUGACUGACCGAUAGUGAACCAGUACCGUGAGGGAAAGGCGAAAAGAACCCCGGCGAGGGGAGUGAAACAGAACCUGAAACCGUGUACGUACAAGCAGUGGGAGCCUCUCUUUAUGGGGGGUGACUGCGUACCUUUUGUAUAAUGGGUCAGCGACUUAUAUUCUGUAGCAAGGUUAACCGCAUAGGGGAGCCGAAGGGAAACCGAGUCUUAAUUGGGCGUUAAGUUGCAGGGUAUAGACCCGAAACCCGGUGAUCUAGCCAUGGGCAGGUUGAAGGUUGGGUAACACUAACUGGAGGACCGAACCGACUAAUGUUGAAAAAUUAGCGGAUGACCUGUGGCUGGGGGUGAAAGGCCAAUCAAACCGGGAGAUAGCUGGUUCUCCCCGAAAGCUAUUUAGGUAGCGCCUCGUGAACUCAUCUCCGGGGGUAGAGCACUGUUUCGGCUAGGGGGCCAUCCCGGCUUACCAACCCGAUGCAAACUGCGAAUACCGGAGAAUGUUAUCACGGGAGACACACGGCGGGUGCUAACGUCCGUCGUGAAGAGGGAAACAACCCAGACCGCCAGCUAAGGUCCCAAAGUCAUGGUUAAGUGGGAAACGAUGUGGGAAGGCCCAGACAGCCAGGAUGUUGGCUUAGAAGCAGCCAUCAUUUAAAGAAAGCGUAAUAGCUCACUGGUCGAGUCGGCCUGCGCGGAAGAUGUAACGGGGCUAAACCAUGCACCGAAGCUGCGGCAGCGACACUUUAGUGUUGUUGGGUAGGGGAGCGUUCUGUAAGCCGUUGAAGGUGUCCUGUGAGGGGUGCUGGAGGUAUCAGAAGUGCGAAUGCUGACAUAAGUAACGAUAAAGCGGGUGAAAAGCCCGCUCGCCGGAAGACCAAGGGUUCCUGUCCAACGUUAAUCGGGGCAGGGUGAGUCGACCCCUAAGGCGAGGCCGAAAGGCGUAGUCGAUGGGAAACGGGUUAAUAUUCCCGUACUUGGUGUUACUGCGAAGGGGGGACGGAGAAGGCUAUGUUGGCCGGGCGACGGUAGUCCCGGUUUAAGCGUGUAGGCUGGUUUUCCAGGCAAAUCCGGAAAAUCAAGGCUGAGGCGUGAUGACGAGGCACCACGGUGCUGAAGCAACAAAUGCCCUGCUUCCAGGAAAAGCCUCUAAGCAUCAGGUAACAUCAAAUCGUACCCCAAACCGACACAGGUGGUCAGGUAGAGAAUACCAAGGCGCUUGAGAGAACUCGGGUGAAGGAACUAGGCAAAAUGGUGCCGUAACUUCGGGAGAAGGCACGCUGACACGUAGGUGAAGUGAUUUACUCACGGAGCUGAAGUCAGUCGAAGAUACCAGCUGGCUGCAACUGUUUAUUAAAAACACAGCACUGUGCAAACACGAAAGUGGACGUAUACGGUGUGACGCCUGCCCGGUGCCGGAAGGUUAAUUGAUGGGGUCAGCGCAAGCGAAGCUCCUGAUCGAAGCCCCGGUAAACGGCGGCCGUAACUAUAACGGUCCUAAGGUAGCGAAAUUCCUUGUCGGGUAAGUUCCGACCUGCACGAAUGGCGUAAUGAUGGCCAGGCUGUCUCCACCCGAGACUCAGUGAAAUUGAACUCGCUGUGAAGAUGCAGUGUACCCGCGGCAAGACGGAAAGACCCCGUGAACCUUUACUAUAGCUUGACACUGAACAUUGAGCCUUGAUGUGUAGGAUAGGUGGGAGGCUUUGAAGCGUGGACGCCAGUCUGCGUGGAGCCGACCUUGAAAUACCACCCUUUAAUGUUUGAUGUUCUAACGUGGACCCGUAAUCCGGGUUGCGGACAGUGUCUGGUGGGUAGUUUGACUGGGGCGGUCUCCUCCUAAAGAGUAACGGAGGAGCACGAAGGUUGGCUAAUCCUGGUCGGACAUCAGGAGGUUAGUGCAAUGGCAUAAGCCAGCUUGACUGCGAGCGUGACGGCGCGAGCAGGUGCGAAAGCAGGUCAUAGUGAUCCGGUGGUUCUGAAUGGAAGGGCCAUCGCUCAACGGAUAAAAGGUACUCCGGGGAUAACAGGCUGAUACCGCCCAAGAGUUCAUAUCGACGGCGGUGUUUGGCACCUCGAUGUCGGCUCAUCACAUCCUGGGGCUGAAGUAGGUCCCAAGGGUAUGGCUGUUCGCCAUUUAAAGUGGUACGCGAGCUGGGUUUAGAACGUCGUGAGACAGUUCGGUCCCUAUCUGCCGUGGGCGCUGGAAGAUUGAGGGGGGCUGCUCCUAGUACGAGAGGACCGGAGUGGACGCAUCACUGGUGUUCGGGUUGUCAUGCCAAUGGCACUGCCCGGUAGCUAAAUGCGGAAAAGAUAAGUGCUGAAAGCAUCUAAGCACGAAACUUGCCCCGAGAUGAGUCUUCCCUGAGACUUUGAGUCUCCUGAAGGAACGUUAAAGACGAUGACGUUGAUAGGCCGGGUGUGUAAGCGCAGCGAUGCGUUGAGCUAACCGGUACUAAUGAACCGUGAGGCUUAACCUUACAACGCCGAAGCUGUU